rnacentral:rRNA from 1 species
UACGUAGGGUGCGAGCGUUGUCCGGAAUUAUUGGGCGUAAAGAGCUCGUAGGCGGUUUGUUGCGUCGGCCGUGAAAACCUGCAGCUUAACUGUGGGCCUGCGGCCGAUACGGGCAGACUUGAGUUCGGUAGGGGAGACUGGAAUUCCUGGUGUAGCGGUGAAAUGCGCAGAUAUCAGGUGGAACACCCGUAGCGAAGGCGGCAUUCUGGGCCGAUACUGACGCUGAGGAGCGAAAGCGUGGGGAGCGAACAGG